rnacentral:lncRNA from 1 species
GGAACUCGGCAGAGGGAAUGGAGAGGGCAGAGUCCCUGAGGCAGAAGCACUGGCAGAUUUCCCCAGGACGAGAGAAGGAUAUCCAAUUGCUCAUCAGGGAAGGUGCUAGGUCUCCCAGCCAGACGCCCUCAGAGGCCGGUGUCAAGUCUCCCUCACCUCUGUGAUGUGAAGUCAGCUCGUUCAUGACCUGGGCAGGCAGAGGGUCAGAGGGGCAGAUGGAGCACUCCUGGCCAGAUGAAGGGCUGUACAUGAGGUUUCCAGCUGCAAAUAAGCAUUAUCUGGUCCUGGCAGAUGGUAGAUGCACCUGACAACAAUAACUUAACCAUACCCUGAGAAUGACCCUGGAUGGCAGAUGUACCUGACAGCAGUGGCGUGGUUUGAGAAAUGAGAGUUGCACAAAGAGGUUUCUGUGGGGAGGGUGCCAAAUGAAGGUACUAUAUAAGCUGCAUGCUUUUUUUUUUUUUUUUUUUGAGACAGAGUCUCGCUCUGUUACCCAGGCUGGACUGCAAUGAUGUGAUCUCGGCUCACUGCAACCUCUGCCUCCCGGGUUCAAGUGGUUCUCUCACCUCUGCCUCCUGAGUAGCUGGGACUGCAGGCACAUGCCACCAUGCCUGGCUAAUUUUUGUAUCUUUAGUAGAGAUGGGGUUUCACCAUAUUGGCCAGGCUGGUCUUGAACUCCUGACCUCAAGUGAUCCACCCGCCUCGGCCUUCCAAAGUGCUGGGAUUACAGGCGUGAGCCACCAUGCCUGGCCAAGCUGCAUGCUUUUUGCAAGCAAUUGUAGUUCUUCUGUCUAGCCCACAGUCACUGGACUGUCCCUGUAUGUAAGUUCCCCUAAAUAAAACCCUAUGUCUCUUUUGCUGGCUUUGGGUCUCUUCUUCAGCCUCUUAAACCUGGUGCCAUCACUAUUGGAGUGAACAGGGGUCUAGCACAACAGUGGGGACCCA